CCUACGGGUGGCAGCAGUUUCGAAUCGUUCACAAUGGGGGCAACCCUGAUGGCGCGACGCCGCGUGGGGGAUGAAGGUCUUCGGAUUGUAAACUCCUGUCAUUGGGGACUAAUGGCCAGGCUCAUACCCUGGUUUGAAUUAACCCAAAGAGGAAGCAGUGGCUAACUCUGUGCCAGCAGCCGCGGUAAUACAGAGACUGCAAGCGUUACUCGGAUUCACUGGGCGUAAAGGGAGCGCAGGCGGACUCGUGUGUCUGACGUGAAAUACCGGGGCUUAACCCCGGUGCUGCGUUAGAAACUACGAGUCUAGAGACUUGGAGGGGUAAGCGGAAUUCUUGGUGGAGCAGUGAAAUGCGUAGAUAUCAAGAGGAACACCAACGGCGAAGGCAGCUUACUGGACAAGAUCUGACGCUCAGGCUCGAAAGCGUGGGGAGCAAAAGGGAUUAGAUACCCUAGUAGUC
rnacentral:rRNA from 1 species